AGAGUUUGAUCCUGGCUCAGGAUGAACGCUGGCGGCGUGCCUAACACAUGCAAGUCGAACGGAGCCUUAACCAAAGAAGCAGCCAGCUUGCUGGAAGCGGAAAAGGGAAAGGCUUAGUGGCGGACGGGUGAGUAACGCGUGGGUAACCUGGCCCAUACAGGGGGAUAACACUUAGAAAUAGGUGCUAAUACCGCAUAACAACAGAAAGCGCAUGCUUUUUGUUUGAAAACCAAGGUGGUAUGGGAUGGACCCGCGUCUGAUUAGCUGGUUGGCGGGGUAAAGGCCCACCAAGGCGACGAUCAGUAGCCGGCCUGAGAGGGUGGACGGCCACAUUGGGACUGAGACACGGCCCAAACUCCUACGGGAGGCAGCAGUAGGGAAUAUUGCACAAUGGGGGAAACCCUGAUGCAGCGACGCCGCGUGAGUGAAGAAGUAAUUCGUUAUGUAAAGCUCUAUCAGCAGGGAAGAAAAUGACGGUACCUGAGUAAGAAGCCCCGGCUAACUACGUGCCAGCAGCCGCGGUAAUACGUAGGGGGCAAGCGUUAUCCGGAUUUACUGGGUGUAAAGGGAGCGUAGACGGCAGUGCAAGUCUGGAGUGAAAGGCGGGGGCUCAACCCCCGGACUGCUCUGGAAACUGUACGGCUGGAGUGCAGGAGAGGUAAGUGGAAUUCCUAGUGUAGCGGUGAAAUGCGUAGAUAUUAGGAGGAACACCAGUGGCGAAGGCGGCUUACUGGACUGUAACUGACGUUGAGGCUCGAAAGCGUGGGGAGCAAACAGGAUUAGAUACCCUAGUAGUCCACGCCGUAAACGAUGAGGACCAAGUGUUGGGGGUGAAACCUCAGUGCUGAAGUUAACGCAGUGAGUCCUCCGCCUGGGGAGUAUGCACGCAAGUGUGAAACUCAAAGGAAUUGACGGGGGCCCGCACAAGCGGUGGAGUAUGUGGUUUAAUUCGAAGCAACGCGAAGAACCUUACCAGGCCUUGACAUGGGAUGCGAAGAUGCAGAGAUGCAUCAGAGGUUAUCAUCCACACAGGUGGUGCAUGGUUGUCGUCAGCUCGUGUCGUGAGAUGUUGGGUCAAGUCCCGCAACGAGCGCAACCCUUGUGGCAUGUUGCUAACAGGAAAAGCUGAGGACUCAUGCCAGACUGCCGGUGACAAACCGGAGGAAGGCGGGGAUGACGUCAAAUCAUCAUGCCCCUUAUGGCCUGGGCUACACACGUACUACAAUGGCGGCUACAAAGAGCAGCGAGACAGGGAUGUCGAGCGAAUCUCAUAAAAGCCGUCCCAGUUCGGAUUGGAGGCUGCAACCCGCCUCCAUGAAGUUGGAAUCGCUAGUAAUCGCGGAUCAGCAUGCCGCGGUGAAUACGUUCCCGGGCCUUGCACACACCGCCCGUCA
rnacentral:rRNA from 1 species